rnacentral:tRNA from 1 species
GGGCCACUGGUGAAAUGGUAGACACGCCUGAUUUAGGGUCAGGUCUCGUAAGAGGUACAGGUUCGAGUCCUGUGUAGCCCA